AUUGAACGCUGGCGGCAUGCUUUACACAUGCAAGUCGAACGGCAGCACGGACUUCGGUCUGGUGGCGAGUGGCGAACGGGUGCGUAAUACAUCGGAACGUGCCCAGUUGUGGGGGAUAACUACCCGAAAGAGUAGCUAAUACCGCAUGAGAACUGAGGUUGAAAGCAGGGGAUCGCAAGACCUUGCGCAACUGGAGCGGCCGAUGGCAGAUUAGGUAGUUGGUGGGAUAAAAGCUUACCAAGCCGACGAUCUGUAGCUGGUCUGAGAGGACGACCAGCCACACUGGGACUGAGACACGGCCCAGACUCCUACGGGAGGCAGCAGUGGGGAAUUUUGGACAAUGGGCGAAAGCCUGAUCCAGCAAUGCCGCGUGCAGGAUGAAGGCCUUCGGGUUGUAAACUGCUUUUGUACGGAACGAAAAGCUUCGGGUUAAUACCCUGGAGUCAUGACGGUACCGUAAGAAUAAGCACCGGCUAACUACGUGCCAGCCGCCGCAGUAAUAC
rnacentral:rRNA from 1 species